rnacentral:rRNA from 1 species
GACGGAGGAUGCAAGUGUUAUCCGGAAUCACUGGGCGUAAAGCGUCUGUAGGUGGUGAUGUAAGACAGGUGUGAAAUCCCCGGGCUUAACCUGGGAACUGCAUUUGUGACUGCAUCGCUGGAGUGCGGCAGAGGGGGAUGGAAUUCCGCGUGUAGCAGUGAAAUGCGUAGAUAUGCGGAGGAACACCGAUGGCGAAGGCAAUCCCCUGGGCCUGCACUGACGCUCAUGCACGAAAGCGUGGGGAGCAAACAGG